GCAUGUUACCCGAUGUCCUGCACAUGUUUUCCAGCCAUGGGAAACAGAGACCCAGAGUGGUUGCUGGGAAAGGGAGGUCACAAAAGAAACUAGAGAUACAAGGAAGUGUCUGAGUUUCUGAAUGUUGCAGCAUGCGAACUUUCAGUUGCGGCAUGUGGGAUCUCGUUCCCCGACCCGGGAUUGAACCCAGGACCCUUGAGCUAAGCAUGGGGGCUUAGCUCCCAGACCACCAGGGAAGUCCCAACUCCGUAUGUUCCCGAUCUGGAACCCAAGUGUUUAACCAGCGACAUCUGUUCCAAGUCAGUCCUCGAGACAGGUGGUCCAGGCUCAGAGCUGCUCAGCAGGUCAUCCAAGUUCACAACCAGCCAACACGUGGCCCCCCUUGAGUUAUCUGGCUGCACCCAGGCCUCUGAGUGAGUUCUCCGCGCUGGCCCCGAGCCACGGGGCCUGCCUGGGAGCCUGUCAACACCAGUG